rnacentral:rRNA from 1 species
AUUGAACGCUGGCGGCAUGCCUUACACAUGCAAGUCGAACGGUAACAGGUCUUCGGAUGCUGACGAGUGGCGAACGGGUGAGUAAUACAUCGGAACGUGCCCGAUCGUGGGGGAUAACGAGGCGAAAGCUUUGCUAAUACCGCAUACGAUCUACGGAUGAAAGCGGGGGAUCUUCGGACCUCGCGCGGACGGAGCGGCCGAUGGCAGAUUAGGUAGUUGGUGGGAUAAAAGCUUACCAAGCCGACGAUCUGUAGCUGGUCUGAGAGGAUGAUCAGCCACACUGGGACUGAGACACGGCCCAGACUCCUACGGGAGGCAGCAGUGGGGAAUUUUGGACAAUGGGCGAAAGCCUGAUCCAGCCAUGCCGCGUGCAGGAUGAAGGCCUUUGGGUUGUAAACUGCUUUUGUACGGAACGAAAAGCCUCUUUCUAAUAAAGAGGAGUCAUGACGGUACCGUAAGAAUAAGCACCGGCUAACUACGUG